rnacentral:lncRNA from 12 species
AGAAUUAAUUAUCAAUGAAUGUUCAGGUGCUGUAUUUACUUUUUAAAAAUUAACACAAGAAGCACCCACACAAUUUUUUUUCCUUGAAAAGUUGAAGCAGGAGAAGGUUUGUUCACAAAAUAUACACAAUAUGACCUUAUGAACUUGUAGGAGGUAGAUGAUGCUGUUCAUUGAUUGCACACAGUUAACAACUACGGACAAGUUCUGUCACACCAUGGAAACCACCAAUCAUCAGUCACCUAUCAAGUCUUUCAGGGGAAAAGAAGUGUCUUUUUUGUCUUCAUUCUUAGGAAAUAUUCUUACAUUAAUAAUCAAUGAACCCAUAGAUUAAUGGAAAGCCAAGAGAGAUAGUCGCUUGAAUAAUGAAAGGUGAGUCUUUUGAUGGUAAAUUCACAACCAAAUCUUGUACAUAAUGGUCAAAGUCCACAUCAACUAAAUGUGACUAUCCAGCAUUAGCUUCUUUACAGAUGAUGCUAAAUUAGAACUUUGCCAGUAUCAUCCUUAAUUACUACCAACUUUAGCCACUGUCUUUAUCAUUGACAACUCUACCAUCACUGUCUCUUCCAUCCUUAAUCACUAUAUUUUCAAUCAUUUUUAAUUAAUGGAAAAGAGCCCUCAAAACAUUUGUAACUAUGUCUCAAAUAUGUAAUAUAUAUGCACAAAAUAUAUUUUAUUGGGCUUCUGUGAGAGAGUCUUGGCACUUGAAGUGAUGACUUCUGCCAAUGAAGAGAUAUUAAAUAUAUUAGAUAGUUUUCCUUCUUAGGAUAGGAUGGGGGUUAGGAGGGGCCAUAGAAGUAGUUCCCAUCAAACAAGAGAGAGACAUACAAGCAAAAGAAGUCUUUAAACUUGGAACCAACUUAUAUUCUUAAAUUCCUGACUCACCCAACAUUAAACUAGCUAAUGCCAGGAUUGAAAGGCAAGAAAAUUUUGGAUAGCUCAUAACAGUAAUGCAUAAGGGUCCCAGAGGAUAGAGCAUAUCCUCUUCAGUAUAAUUAUCCCAAUACCACCAUCUUAUUCAUGCACUCAAACUCAAAGGAACGGAUAUACAAAUAUAAAAGAGUAGCAUGAAAGGUAUCUUUCUAGUGAUGGAAGAGUUCUGCUACCUUGAUUGUGGUGGCAAUUACACUAAUAUGUGUAUGGGAUAAAGUUACAUACAACUACAUAUGCACCCACACAUACACAAGUGCAUUUUAAAAUGAUGAAAAUGAAAUAAACUCUAUUGUCUAGCCA